GAUGAAGAACGCAGCGAAAUGCGAUAAGUAAUGUGAAUUGCAGAAUUCAGUGAAUCAUCGAAUCUUUGAACGCACAUUGCGCCCGCCAGUAUUCUGGCGGGCAUGCCUGUUCGAGCGUCAUUACAACCCUCAGGCCCCCGGGCCUGGCGUUGGGGAUCGGCAGAAGCCCCCUGUGGGCACACGCCGUCCCUCAAAUACAGUGGCGGUCCCGCCGCAGCUUCCAUUGCGUAGUAGCUAACACCACGCAACUCGAGAGCGGCGCGGCCAUGCCGUAAAACACCCAACUUCUGAAUGUUGACCUCGAAUCAGGUAGGAAUACCCGCUGAACUUAAGCAUAUCAAUAAGCGGAGGA
rnacentral:misc_RNA from 1 species